rnacentral:lncRNA from 1 species
UAAUUACAUGGGUAUGGGCACUCCCCUUGGCAACUGCCAAGCUUGGGGGAGGUGCCCCGGUAUCGUAUCACCAUCACACUCCUAUCUUUACUGCUUUACUUAGUUCGGUCCUUCUGAUAAUAUCUAGAUCUAGUAGAAUAAUGUUUUGGUUUGAAUUAGUUUUGAGUUUUGCUUUGUGAUCCUUCUAUGUAAUCGAGUCCGUGAGUUAUAUAUAAUAAAGAUUAGUGUUGAGUCAAGGGCUUUGCUAUCUUGCCAUGAUCUUAAGAAAAUAAAAAGAAAUAAAAGAGUUCAUAUUGAUCUUAUGGAUAGUAAUGACUUCACAUAUAAAGAGUAUGAGGCAUAAAAGUUGUUGAGAGUUGACAAACAUAGUUUUGGUCAUCGUUGCAAUUAAUAGGAAGUAAUAAAGAAAGAAAGGUUUGCACAUAUAAAUAUACUAUCUUGGACAUAUUUUAUAAUUGUGAGCACUCAUUAAAGUAUGACAUGCUAAAGAGUUGAUGUUGGACAAGGAAGACAACGUAAUGGUUUAUGCUUUCUCACAUCUCAGUUAAAGUAUAUUGUCAUGGAUCAUCCAACAUGUUGAGCUUGCCUUUCCUCCUCGUGCUAGCCAAAUUCCUUGCACCAAGUAGAGAUACUACUUGUGCUUCCAAAUAUCCUUAAACCCAGUUUUGCCAUGAGAGUCCACCAUAUCUACCUAUGGAUUGAGUAAGAUCCUUCAAGUAAGUUGUGAUGUUGCAUGCAAUAAAAAUUGCUCUCUAAAUAUGCAUGACUUAUUAGUGCGGAGAAAAUAAGCUUUAUACGAUCGUGUGAUAUGGAAGUAAUAAAAGCAACGGACUACAUAAUAAAGGUUCAUAUCACAAGUGGCAAUAUAAAGUGACGUUCUUUUGCAUUAAGAUUUUGUGCAUCCAACCCUAAAAGCACAUGACAAUCUCUGCUUCCCUGUGCGAAGGGCCUAUCUUUUACUUUAUGUCUUUUACUUUAUGCAAGAGUCAAGGUGAUCUUCACCUUUCCCUUUUUCAUUUUAUCCUUUGGCAAACACCUCGUGUUGGAAAGAUCCUGAUAUAUAUAUAUAUAUAUAUAUAUAUAUAUAUAUCCAAUUGGAUGUAAGUUAUCAUGAACUAUUAUUGUUGACAUCACCCAAAGGUGAAUACGUUGGGAGGCGAAAUUAUAAGCCCCUAUCUUUCUCAGUGUCCGAUUAAAACUCCAUAACCAUAAGUAUUGCGUGAGUGUUAACAAUUGUAGAAGACUAUAUAAUAGUUGAGCAUGUGGACUUGCUGAAAAGCUCUAUUCUUGACUCUUUCUGAUGUUAUGAUAAAUUGCAAUUGCUUCAGUGACUGAGAUUAUAGUUUUCUAGUUCUCAAUGAAGUUUCUGAACCAUACUUGACAUUGUGAAUAGAUUGUUACUUGAGCAUAAGAAAUCAUAUGACAAAAUCUAUAUAUGUUGCUGUUAUAAGAAUGAUCCUGAUGCCCUCAUGUCCGCAUUUUAUUUUUAUCAACACCUCUAUCUAUAAACAUGUGGACAUAUUUUUCGAUAUCGGCUUCCGCUUGAGGACAAACGAGGUCUAAGCUUGGGGGAGUUGAUACGUCCAUUUUGCAUCAUGCUUUUAUAUCAAUAUUUAUUACAUUACUAGUUGACCCGUUGCGCCAAAUGGCGCAGAGACCCGCUAAAGCCAUGUUGUCGAUGAAAAUAGUUUCAUUUUGCAAGGACAUACAGUGCAGCGACCCGUUGAAUCCAUGUGUGCGUUGUUGCUUUUUUUGCAUGUUUUAGUUGGUUUAAUUGUAGUCGAGGACAUAUGAUAACAAAAUUUACCCCCUUUAGUAAAUAAAAGAAUGAAAAUGUUAUCUACAAUGAGAUAUACACACACAUUUUAAUUUAUCUCUGACCCAAAUGGCGUAGAGUCCAAUAUGAUACCAUGGGAGCGUUGAAAAUAUUUGCAUUUUUUCAAUAACUUUAUGUUUGAGGAAGCGCAAAGACCAUGUCAAAUCCAAAGUGUUUUGAAAAUAUUUGGUUGUGCUAGUAGAAGUAGGUUUUAGCAACAUUAGGGUAGCAUGCAUAUUUUGUUAUCUUAUUCAGGUAACAUAGAGCCAAAUGGCGCAAGGUAUAUGACAUACAACUUUACCGUGAAGAUGCGAUGUGAUAUCUUCCUUGACCUAAUGUUCAAACAUAUUUGGAGAUCAAACCCAUAAUUGGUGUCACCUGUCUUAAUUAAAACCCAAAACACCUACCUUGUGCAACAUGGCCUUUUACCAUGGGAACAAUUAUUAGCACAAACAGAGUUCGGAUAUUACAUGUUACAUAAGAGUUUGGCUUGAGAAACUGUCCUGUUAUAGGUAUAUAAAUUUCCUACUUUUAAUCACAGCAGCAAACAAGAACCUUCUUAAAUGGAAAACUCCCUUAUGCAUAUCUGUUUCAAAAUUCAACUUGUGAACACAGGUGAAACAUUUCAUCAAUGCACAAUAAAAUAUUGAACACACAUAAUAGUCUAGUUGGGAAUCCAAAUAAUUGACUGACACAUCAGCAUACACUCGAAUCAUAGAAAAUUUGUUGUUUCCGGAAAUGGAAACUAACAUCAACAAGUCACAUGCUCCAUCCGCCCUUUGGACUGCUCUCUCCUCAUGCCUCCCCUUCAAUCACUCACCAUAUUAAUAACACCUGAAUACAAAAAACCACUUAUGAAUUAUACAAGCAUGCAAAAUAUUGUAUACUGUGAAGCAUAUCAAUGCCACAAAAAGAUGGGCACUCUCACAUUGAAAAACAGAAAAUAUAAUAAACUAUGUAUUAAAGAGAUAUGGUCUAGAAUGGUCUAAUAUAAACCCAUAUAUUUUCUAUAAAAAGUUUCCUUUUUGUGAUAUAUUGUCUUUAAAAGAUAGGUCAAAUUGUUAAAAACUGACAUGUAAACAACAAACACAAACUAUAGCCAGUCACCAGUCAGCAAAGCCCUAUUUUUUUGCAAGGCCAACAUCAUGGCAACCGUCACUCAUGGCCUGCCUUGGAGGCACGACGUGAAGGUUGCCAAAGGUCGGUGCUACUACAGGUGUUUCUAUUCACAUCAUCAAUAGUUCAUGUAUGCACCUAUUAGGUAAUUCCAAGUUUUCAUUCAGAUUUAUCCUCUUCAAAGGAUAUGGGGUACACGGUAGCUGGAUGGGGACCUGCAGCCUAAGACAACCAGAAUAAGCAAAUAUAGAAACUACCCUGUAGUUCUAAAGAUCUGAAAUACAACUGCAUGGACAAAGUGUUGCUGCGAAAUAAUCGUACGUGUAUAUACAGUAGAGUGUUGUUGAUUCCACAGAGCAAAUUUACCAUCAGCUAAGUUGGUUCUUUCGUUGUGCAUGAACUCAUACACAACUAUGUUCUUCCUGUCUUGCUGACUGUAACCAGUGAAUGUUACCAGGUUCCAAUGACAUAUUCCAGAAAGCAAUGCUACCUAAAACAAGUAGACCUUCACAGCAGACUACUCCCUUCGUCCCAAAAUAAGUGUCUCAACUCUAGUAAAACUUUGUAACAGAGUUGAGACACUUAUUUUAGGACGGAGGGCGCACAUGUAAGCCAGCCAACUCAUCAGGACAACAUCGGUAAGAAAAGAAAUGCAUGAGCAUAUGGUACAUUGUCAUGCAACGAUGCAACCAUAGCAUGAUAUGGCUGUUCCGUAGACCAUUACAACAGACCACAAGAGGGGGUGUGCAGAUACAGAAUGCAAAGGAAAUGUCAAAAGGCAGGAACUAAAAUUGCAGAAACAUAAAAGAAGGAUUACUACUAAUCUGAGAUAGUGAGGAAACAAUUGUCAUAUGAUCAAAGCACAUUAAGAGGUCAUUGGAUAAAGAAAAAAACAGAAUAGUCGAACAUAUCAGGAUCUUUUUUCACAACAGGACCAAGCCAUACUAUAAAAGCAGAAACAAGUAAACACAUGAGAAGGUGCACAUAAAUUUAACUACUUGGCAUAAAAUAACAUAAGUUCAUCAUCUAACAACAAGAGCCUACACUGGUAUAUAAUUAUAGAAGAUAUUAUGUAUGCAGAUAUGAUGAUAUAUAACCCUAUUCGAUUAUUCAAUUUGAUGUGAUGCUAAGAAGCACACAUCUGAGCCGUCUAUUUCUUUUCUCAAAGAAAAUAACACCAGGAUUAUUUUUAGUAAGAAGUGCAACAACAAUCAUGCCUCAGUUGAUAAAUAAUAAAGGAGUACUCGGAAUAUAUACAAACUUGACUCAAAGAGCAUU